rnacentral:rRNA from 1 species
AGAGUUUGAUCCUGGCUCAGAUUGAACGCUGGCGGCAUGCCCUACACAUGCAAGUCGAACGGUAACAGGUCUUCGGACGCUGACGAGUGGCGAACGGGUGAGUAAUGCAUCGGAACGUGCCCAGUCGUGGGGGAUAACUGCUYGAAAGAGCAGCUAAUACCGCAUACGACCUGAGGGUGAAAGCGGGGGACCGUAAGGCCUCGCGCGAUUGGAGCGGCCGAUGUCAGAUUAGCUAGUUGGUGGGGUAAAGGCCUACCAAGGCAACGAUCUGUAGUUGGUCUGAGAGGACGACCAGCCACACUGGGACUGAGACACGGCCCAGACUCCUACGGGAGGCAGCAGUGGGGAAUUUUGGACAAUGGGCGCAAGCCUGAUCCAGCAAUGCCGCGUGCAGGAAGAAGGCCUUCGGGUUGUAAACUGCUUUUGUCAGGGAAGAAAUCUUCUGGGCUAAUACCCCGGGAGGAUGACGGUACCUGAAGAAUAAGCACCGGCUAACUACGUGCCAGCAGCCGCGGUUA